UUGUGUGUGAUGUUUGUGGUUGUGUGUGGAUGUAGUGAUGUGUGUGGCAGAGGACGAGGGGCACUGGAUAGUUGGGCGAGAGGUGAAAUGCGAAGACCCUGACUGGACGAGCGGAAGCGAAGGCUGUGCUCUUGGACUAAUGUUGCGAUGAAGGACGAAGGCUAGAGGAUCGAAAUCGAUUAGAUACCGUUUUAGUUCUAGCAGUAAACGAUGCCGACUGGACGGGACUGUGUGUGUUGUCCAUGAGAAAUCUUGAGUAUGCGGGUUCUGGGGAUAGUAUGCUCGCAAGAGUGAAACUUGAAGAGAUUGACGGAAGGACACCACAAGGAGUGGAGUGUGCGGCUUAAUUUGACUCAACGCGGGGCAACUUACCGGCUCUGAAGGAUGCCUGUGAGUGCAUGGCAUGAGGCAUGCGGCGGUGGUGCAUGGCCGUUUUAAAUGGAUGGCGUGAGCUUUGUCUUAAGUUGCGUAAGAUGUGAGACCCUUUGACGGUGUUCUACGGAGCAAGGAGGGGAUGGAAGAGAACAGGUCCGUUAUGCCCUGAGAUGAGGCGGGCUGCACGCGCACUACGAUAGAUGGCGCUUCUGCCUGCUGUGAGGGAUGAAGCUGUGUAAGGGGCUUCUGAACGUGGAAUUCCUAGUAAUAGCGGCUGACGAAGCUGCUUUGAAUGUGUCCCUGUCCUUUGUACACACCGCCCGUCGCUAUCUAAGAUGACGCACUGGACGAAGAUCGGAAGGUCUGAGUCCUGAGUGUUAGAUAAGAUA
rnacentral:rRNA from 1 species